UGCANGUCGUGGGGCAGCGCAGGUAGCAAUACUGGGCGGCGACCGGCAAACGGGUGCGGAACACGUACACAACCUUCCUUCAAGUGGGGAAUAGCCCAGAGAAAUUUGGAUUAAUACCCCGUAACAUAACGAUGUGGCAUCACAUUGUUAUUAUAGCUUCGGCGCUUGUUGAUGGGUGUGCGGCUGAUUAGAUAGUUGGCGGGGUAACGGCCCACCAAGUCUACGAUCAGUAGCUGAUGUGAGAGCAUGAUCAGCCACACGGGCACUGAGACACGGGCCCGACUCCUACGGGAGGCAGCAGUAAGGAAUAUUGGUCAAUGGACGAAAGUCUGAACCAGCCAUGCCGCGUGAAGGAUUAAGGUCCUCUGGAUUGUAAACUUCUUUUAUCUGGGACGAAAAAAGGCGAUUCUUCGUCACUUGACGGUACCAGAUGAAUAAGCACCGGCUAACUCCGUGCCAGCAGCCGCGGUAAUACGGAGGGUGCAAGCGUUAUCCGGAUUCACUGGGUUUAAAGGGUGCGUAGGCGGGCAGGUAAGUCAGUGGUGAAAUCCUAGAGCUUAACUCUAGAACUGCCAUUGAUACUAUCUGUCUUGAAUAUUGUGGAGGUUAGCGGAAUAUGUCAUGUAGCGGUGAAAUGCUUAGAUAUGACAUAGAACACCUAUNGCGAAGGCAGCUAACUACGCAUAUAUUGACGCUGAGGCACGAAAGCGUGGGGAUCAAACAGGAUUAGAUACCCUGNUAGUCCACGCCCUAAACGAUGAUUACUCGACAUUUGUGAUACACUAUAAGUGUCUGANCGAAAGCAUUAAGUAAUCCACCUNNNAGUACGACCGCANGGNUGAAACUCAAAGGAAUUGGCGGGGGUCCGCACAAGCGGNNG
rnacentral:rRNA from 1 species